GAUAAUUAUUUUUUUACCUUGUAGAAUUAAACAUGUUUGGGCUUGAUCGGGAUUCCAGUAUUUGGUUGAGUAUUUACUUCCCGGUCUCCUGGCUUACACAGUUCGGUCAUGGUCUGGUCACGACAGUGGUUGGACCUACACAACCAUAUCUUGCCCGGAAUACUGGUGUAGCUAUUGAUACUGUUAACCUUGUCUGGACUUUUGGGUUUAUAGGUUUCCUUUUAGGAAGCCUCCUUACAGGUUUUAUCUUUAAGCAGUUUAUUACCUCUGCCCGUGGAAAACUUAUAUUUCUUUUUUCAUCAAUAUCUCUCACAGGGAUUUUCGUUGUGGUUCUACCUCUCACAUCUAGUUUCCCGUUAUUGGUGACAGGUCGUCUUAUUCAACACUUCAUGCUUGGCGCAUUUAUUACAGCUGAUGCUAGUCUUAUUGUCUUCCUCAUAGGUCCAGAGAAAUCACGCCCUUUUACAAUGUUCCUACAUGCAGUUAUAGGUUCUGGGUUCCUGGCAGCAACAAUCUUGGUCCGUCCUUUUCUUCCUUCAGAGGAGAGUGUGAACAAGGACACACUUUGUAACAGGAUAAAUACAACCCUGGAGAGAACUAAAGAUGAACUGAGCCUGAUUAAUCCUGAACCAAACAGUUUUCUUUUCAUGGAAGAAGAUCAUUUAUUGCCAACCAUUGCCUGGCCUUUUAUAAUCUCAGGAGUCUGGUGUAUAUUCUUUAGCUUUGGAUUUCUCAUCCUAGCCUGCCUUCCAUACAGAAUGCCAAGGUUCUACGAGUAUGAAGCUGGGAGUAAGAUUGAUGAAAAAUCCACGAAAUCAAUCAGAUUUCUUCCAGCUUUCUUCUCUAUUGUUUUCCUCUUCUACGCAGUCUCCUGUGGAAUUGAGAGGAUAUAUCAACCUAUGGCCACAACCUUUGGCCUUUGUGGACCACUUGAUCUCUCACCCAAGGAGGCUGUGGCCACAGACUCCUUUUAUAACGGAGGUUUUAUGUGUGGUAGAUUAGUAUCAGCUGUAGUUGCUGGUUUUGUUGCUCCUCGCAACAUGAUCUUGAUCUCUCUUGUAUCCUGCGUCCUUGCAGCAGUUCUACUCUGUAUCCUGGCAGGAACUAAUGUUUAUGGGCUCUACGGUGGUACUGCUAUCCUAGGUUUCUUUAUAUCCUGGCAGUUUGGAUCCUGUUUCUCCUGGGUUGCGAAGAAGAUCAAUGUGACGGGACGGGUCUCUUCUCUCUUCUUUAUCGGUUGCGGAGCUGGAAGUUUGGCAACCCCUCCGAUAUCAGGGUUUAUCUUUACAUCAAGCCUCGGUCCGAUGUCAAUAAUCUACAUGACUCUUGGGUUCUGUUUACUCCAGUGCCUGAUCUUCCUUCUCCUCUGGUUCAUGGCUAGGAACGUGAUCAACUCCUCCGACUCCGGUUCUGAAUCCUACCAGCUCCCAUCCUCCAAGAAUUAACCAAACGGCUCAACUUUACCUUAUACUUGCUCCUAUAGUUAGCCAGUGCUCAAACAGUGCUGACCAGAAAAUAGUUGACUGAUUGGGAUUUUAUUUAAUUCAUUUUUAUUCUGUAUAGUUUGUACAGGCUAAUGUUUUCUUUCUAAAACUACGCCAUUAAAAAUAAAUCAGUUAUAAGAGUUACCAUGAUUCAAAAUCUGAUUGUUUAAUUUUAUAAGAAAGAACGCAGACGACCAUUCCACCAUUUUCUAGUUAUCCACUGAAGUAAAAUAAAUUCAAAUACAUCACUGCGCAGAUCCUAUGUCACAAAAUAUGUUUUUUUUAUUUUCUUUAUUUUUUGGAACUAUAAUGUAUGAACAAGUUUAAAUUUUUUUUCAUUUAUUCAUUCACAGUUACGCAGAUAAAUCCAGACUGAUAUAAAAAGUUGCAUCACUUUUGAAGACUGGGUCGACUUUAAAGUGGAGCAACGUGUUGGUCUUUAAUUUUACCUCACUAACUCACUUUUUUGCAGCCCUAGAUAUGUAAAUUUAAGAACUAUAAAAAUCUCUUGUUUUUAAAUGGUUUUUAACUUAAGUUUAAAGAAAUAAUUGGCCAUUCUCCGUCAAACUCACUAUAUCUUAGAUCAGUUUACUUCAAACUACGUGCAGUACGCACCGAAAGCUUAUUUGAGGUUGAUGGCAAACAUCUCAUCAGUUUUUGUGUGAGAGCUUGCAUCCUUUGGAUCACGUACACUGUGAAUGAUUGUCGUCUUUUUUAUUUCUUGACGAAGAGGAAUACUUCUAUGUAUUUUGUUGAAAAGAAAAUGAACCGCAUUACUUCUUUUUUACAUUUGUUAAAAUUAUAAAUGAGACCCAAUAAAUGGUUAUAAUUGAGAUA